rnacentral:rRNA from 1 species
UGGGGAAUAUUGCACAAUGGGCGCAAGCCUGAUGCAGCCAUGCCGCGUGUGUGAAGAAGGCCUUCGGGUUGUAAAGCACUUUCAGCGAGGAGGAAGGUGGUGAGCUUAAUACGCUCAUCAAUUGACGUUACUCGCAGAAGAAGCACCGGCUAACUCCGUGCCAGCAGCCGCGGUAAUACGGAGGGUGCAAGCGUUAAUCGGAAUUACUGGGCGUAAAGCGCACGCAGGCGGUUUGUUAAGUCAGAUGUGAAAUCCCCGGGCUCAACCUGGGAACUGCAUUUGAAACUGGCAAGCUAGAGUCUCGUAGAGGGGGGCUAGAAUUCCAGGUGUAGCGGUGAAAUGCGUAGAGAUCUGGAGGAAUACCGGUGGCGAAGGCGGCCCCCUGGACGAAGACUGACGCUCAGGUGCGAAAGCGUGGGGCAGCAAACAGGAUUAGAUACCCUGGUAGUCCAGCGCUGUAAACGAUGUCGAUUUUGGAGGUUGUGCCCUUGAGGCGUGGCUUCCGGAGCUAACGCGUU